CUGAUGAUACUAAGAUAUGUAACAGGGUUGAUGGUCCAGGAGGGAUAAGCCAAAUGGCAAAUGAUUUAGGUAAACUAGAAAAAUGGUCAGUUGUGGCAGCUGACAUUUAAUGUGGACAAGUGCAAGAUAAUGCAUCUUGGGCAUAAAAACCCAAGGGCAGAGAACAGAAUAUUUGAUAAUGUCCUAACCUCAACAUCUGAGGAAAAGGAUUUAGGGGUAUUGUACGCAGUACUGGAGACCGUAUCUCCAGAAGGAUAUUGAUACUUUGGAGAGAGUUCAGAGAAGGGCUAUUAAACUGGUUCAUGGAUUGCAGGAUAAAACUUACAAGGAAAGUGUAGCGGAU